UAGUCCACGCCGUAAACGAUGGAUACUAGUUGUUGGAUUUUCGGAUUCAGUGACUAAGCGAAAGUGAUAAGUAUCCCACCUGGGGAGUACGGUCGCAAGAUUGAAACUCAAAGGAAUUGACGGGGGCCCGCACAAGCGGUGGAGCAUGUGGUUUAAUUCGAUGAUACGCGAGGAACCUUACCAGGGCUUAAAUGUAAGUUGCAUAGAGUAGAGAUAUUCUUUUCUUCGGACUACUUACAAGGUGCUGCAUGGUUGUCGUCAGCUCGUGCCGUGAGGUGUCAGGUUAAGUCCUAUAACGAGCGCAACCCUUACCGUUAGUUGCCAGCAUGUCAAGAUGGGGACUCUAGCGGGACUGCCAGUGCAAACUGUGAGGAAGGUGGGGAUGACGUCAAAUCAUCAUGGGCCUUUAUGCCCAGGGGCUACACACGUGCUACAAUGGACGGUACAAAGAGUUGCUAAGCCGCGAGGGUAGA
rnacentral:rRNA from 1 species